rnacentral:ribozyme from 15 species
AAGAGAGUGUGAUCUAAAAAAAAAGCUAAACGAAAGGAGGUGUAUCCCUUGCUUUACUCUUUGCUCUUCUUCUUCUUCUUUUCCUUCUUUUGUUUUUUCUCUUUCUUUUCUUUCUUCGACUUUU